CAUGCAUGAAAGGGUAUUAUGCUUCGCAAUUACUAAGCUCUUGGAAUAAUAUUGAUGGUAUUGUAUUAUACUUUCGCAAUAACUCAUCCGACGGGUACAUAUGUGCUGGUAAGCGACGUAUGACUACCACGUCGCGAUACAUGUCGGCACUGGCUGUUGUUGACAUUCUAGUAUUAUUGAUACCGGCUGGUGACGUAUCGUUGAAAUUUGUGAUGGAUAUGCGGCUAGAAGAAUACUCCCUCGCGCUGUGUCGUGCCUGGGGGUUCUGUUUUUAUGCGCCGAGGGCGAUCUCGGCAUGGAUAUUGGUCGUCGCUACAGUCGAGCGAGCAAUGGGGAGUGGAUGCCACAUCGCGAUAGACUGACGUGUGGUCCCAACAAAGCCGUUAUCAUAAUCGCACUCGUUUGUGGGCUUGUCUCAGCUGCAUAUCUUCCAUUCUUUCCUGGUUUCAAAUUUGAAGAAAGCAAAGGUUGUUCUAUGGGAAAUUCGCUAUUCUGGAAACAUCACUUAAUCUUUAUAGAAUUUGAUUUUUGC